AUGAUCACGGUGGCGGCGCUGACCGACGAGGCGUCCUCUGGCCCGAAAGAUUGGAGCGUGAAGAGGGAGAGUGACGCGCUGGGGCCAGCGGGGAAGACGCGCACGAAGAAACGGUCGCCGACGUUCCUGUGCUCGGGGGACCCCUGCCUCGACUUCUUCCGCGUGUUGCCCGCCACGCCGGCCGCCACCGUGGCCAGGCUCCUCGCUGCCGCGUGGGUCGCCGACCCGUCCACCGCGCUCCGCCUGGUCGCCAACCUCCGCGGCGUGCGGGGCUCCGGCAAGUCCGACCGCGAAAGCUUCUACGCCGCCGCGCUCUGGCUCCACGCCCGCCACCCCGCCACGCUCGCGCGCAACGCCGCCUCCGUCGCCGCCUUCGGCUACCUCAAGGAUCUCCCCGAGCUGCUCCACUGGAUCGUGCGCGGCGGCCUCUCCAACAAAGCAGAAAGGAGGACGGCCCUCCUUGCCACCGGCCGCCGCGGCCCCUUUGGCCUCGGGCGCUACCGCAACUCACUCGGGCGCACCCGCAACUUCCGCAAGCGCAGGCCGCGCCCCAAGGUGGACCGUGCUGCGCGCGUCGGCACGGCGGAGGAGCGCCUCGCGGCAAAGCUGCGGCACGACCGGGAGCUCUCGGCUGCGGCGGCCGUGUCGCGCCGGAGCAAGAGGGUGGGUACCGCUGCGACGGCGAUUCGGCGUUACCGAUGCGACCCCACGUACCGGUUCCUGCACGACCGUACGGCCGACCUGUUCGCCAGCCUCCUCGUGGAGGACAUGCGCAAGCUCGCCAACGACGACGUCCGGGAGCUCUCGCUCGCGGCGAAGUGGUGCCCGUCGCUAGGCUCGUCGUACGACCGCUCCACUCUCCUCUGCGAGGCCGUCGCGCGACGCCUCUUCCCCAGGGGCUCGUCGCCAGAGCUCGCGGAUGAUCUCCCCGACGAACCUUACGCUUAUCGUGCGCGCGAGCGCCUCCGUAGGACGGCGCUCGUGCCGCUCCGCCGCGCGCUACAGCUCCCCGAGGUCUUCAUGUCGGCGCGGGCGUGGGAGUCCGUCGUGUACACGCGCGUGGCCUCGGUGGCCAUGAAGAACUACCAGGCCGUCUUCCUCAAGCACGACGCCGAGCGCUUCAACGCUUACCUCGCCGAUGUCAAGUCCAGCAAGAAGCGGAUCGCUGCGGGCGCGCUGCUCCCUCACCAGAUCAUCGAGUCCCUCGGCGAGGACGGCGACGGUGCCGGCACCGGCGUGGCCGACAUGCAGUGGCGGCGCAUGGUCGACGACAUGCGCGCCCUCGGCAAGCUCACCAACUGCUUGGCCGUGUGCGACGUGUCCGGCAGCAUGUCCGGCCUGCCCAUGGACGUCUGCGUCGCGCUCGGCCUCCUCGUGUCCGAGCUCACGGACGACCCGUGGAGCGGCCGCGUGAUCACCUUCAGCGAGCGCCCGGAGAUCCACUUGAUCACCGGCGACACCCUCUCCGAGAAGGUGGGCUUCAUGCGCGCCAUGGACUGGGGCAUGAACACAAACUUCCAGGCGGUGUUCGACAAGAUCCUCGAGGUGGCCGUGGGCGCCGGCCUGCCGCCGGAGAGGAUGGUAAGGCGGGUGUUCGUGUUCAGCGACAUGGAGUUCGACCAGGCAUCGGCUCAUCCGUGGGAGACAGACUACGAGGCGAUCGUGAGGAAGUUCUCGGAAGCCGGCUACGGCUCGGCCGUGCCAGAGAUAGUGUUCUGGAACCUGGCGUACUCCAAGGCCGUGCCGGUGAUGUCCGGCCAGAAAGGGGUGGCGCUGGUGAGCGGGUUCUCCAAGAACUUGCUCAAGCUGUUCCUCGACGGCGGCGGCAUCGUCACCCCGAGGACCAUCAUGGAGAAGGCCAUCGUCGGCCCGGAGUACGACAAGCUCACCGUUUUCGAUUGA
rnacentral:rRNA from 1 species